AAUGCCCCGUUUAGGCGUUACAGGGCUGGCGUCUCGGUGCUUUCCCUGUGUCACACGUGGGCAUAGAGAAUCAGGCUCCUAGUUUACACUCGGCCGCCACCUACAUGGUCGCCCUGAAUGAUUGUGGAGCCAACAUC